UACAGAGACUGCAAGCGUUAUUCGGAUUCACUGGGCGUAAAGGGUGCGCAGGCGGUUGGGUGUGUCAGAUGUGAAAUCCCGAGGCUCAACCUCGGAACUGCGUCUGAAACUACUCGACUAGAGUACUGGAGAGGGUAACGGAAUUCACGGUGUAGCAGUGAAAUGCGUAGAUAUCGUGAGGAACACCGGAGGCGAAGGCGGUUACCUGGACAGUUACUGACGCUCAGGCACGAAAGCCAUGGGGGAGCAAAAGGG
rnacentral:rRNA from 1 species